UAAGGAAUAUUGGUCAAUGGACGCAAGUCUGAACCAGCCAUGCCGCGUGAAGGAUGAAGGUCCUCUGGAUUGUAAACUUCUUUUAUCUGGGACGAAAACGGGAUUUUUAUCUCAAUUGACGGUACCAGAGGAAUAAGCACCGGCUAACUCCGUGCCAGCAGCCGCGGUAAUACGGAGGGUGCGAGCGUUAUCCGGAUUUACUGGGUUUAAAGGGUGCGUAGGUGGGCUUAUAAGUCAGUGGUGAAAUCUCCGAGCUUAACUUGGAAACUGCCGUUNAUACUAUAGGUCUUGAAUUAUCUGGAGGUAAGCGGAAUAUUUCAUGUAGCGGUGAAAUGCUUAGAUAUGACAUAGAACACCAAUUGCGAAGGCAGCUUACUACAUAUAAAUUGACGCUGAGGCACGAAAGCGUGGGGAUCAAAC
rnacentral:rRNA from 1 species